AGUGAACGCUGGCGGUAGGCCUAACACAUGCAAGUCGAACGGCAGCACAGUAAGAGCUUGCUCUUACGGGUGGCGAGUGGCGGACGGGUGAGGAAUACAUCGGAAUCUACUUUUUCGUGGGGGAUAACGUAGGGAAACUUACGCUAAAACCGCAUACGACCUACGGGUGAAAGCAGGGGAUCUUCGGACCUUGCGCGAUUGAAUGAGCCGAUGUCGGAUUAGCUAGUUGGCGGGGUAAAGGCCCACCAAGGCGACGAUCCGUAGCUGGUCUGAGAGGAUGAUCAGCCACACUGGAACUGAGACACGGUCCAGACUCCUACGGGAGGCAGCAGUGGAGAAUAUUGGACAAUGGGCGCAAGCCUGAUCCAGCCAUACCGCGUGGGUGAAGAAGGCCUUCGGGUUGUAAAGCCCUUUUGUUGGGAAAGAAAAGCAGCAGGUUAAUACCCCGCUGUUCUGACGGUACCCAAAGAAUAAGCACCGGCUAACUUCGUG
rnacentral:rRNA from 1 species